AGAAAUUUAUCAAUGAAAUUUUAUGUACAAAAAGUUACAACCGGAAAAUUAAUAAUUCAAAAUUUUACAUGAAAAGUUGUACCAAUAUAGAGCAUUACAUUCGUCAACUCACUUUCUUGAAAAUAUUUUUACAUGCCUUGAAAAACUUCUAUUUUUCCAGCAAUUGGUAUGUGAUUCAUUUUGGCCCAAACAGUUCUACCACCUUUUUAGCACAUUUUGUCAUCCUCUUUCAUAAUGUUUGUUCUUAUGGUUGGGCUUCGUUCAUUAAUUCUAACUUGUAAGGAACUUUUUGUAGGCCACCCCUUUCACGUCUGUAUGUAAUCCCUCAUAAACUCAUGCAUACAACUUUUUUUUAUUUAUAUUUCCUUUGAUAUUUUCACAUUAGCAAAACUUUCACAAUUUGCUAGGUGAUGGUCAGAAACAAAUAACUAUAAAUUAAGAAGAAACAGUUUCUACAGAUGUAGCAACAAAAACUUCAAUUUUUUAAGAGAUCCUAACUGUCUUUCUGCUUCCACAAGAAUGCAAACUUAGGGAAUCAAAUGAACGGUUAACUUACUUUACAUUGUUUAUAAUCAAGAAACUGAAUCCUAAAGUUAUUCAAUGCCAAACAAACCUAUUAGAGUAACAGAAUCAAAAUAAUAAAGCUCCUUUGAAGGUCAUUUGUGAAUUAUAUCUCAUUCUUGAUGUUAUCUUUUGUCACUCUAAUUAUAAUAUACUAAUAGACAAGAACAAAACUAAUAGCAUAUAUCAUUAUAACCAUUAUUUUGCUACUAUGACAAACAAACAAAUUUGAAUUUUGUCAAAGCUUGUACUUCAAUCGUUAAAAUAGGGAAGAUGGGGGAUAAAAUAGACAAAUUUCUUUCCUGUCUAAAACAUCAACAUUAUCAGCCAGAUUGUGAAAGUUUUCUAACAACAUCAAGCAUUUCUAAUAAUAAUGGCUGCAAGCAAAGUAAUAUUCUAGGAGCUAUGAAAAACAGAGGUGCAAUGAAAAAGGGAGAUUUCUUUCUUUUUCUAAAGUCUUGUUUGGUUUAGCAGUGAAUUUGGUAAAGUCAUGGUACACCAAUGCAGUAAUUUUUCUAAUGUUUUUCUUGAUUUGUGGUAAUUUUGUCAAAUGCACCGCGAAAUCAAAAUGAGUAAAAUGAAAUACUGUUGUGCCUAACUCAACCAUUCAAAAUUGACUUGUAAGAGGAGCAAUACCUCAUUCUAAUAAACACAUUUUGAGACCAUAUGUAAUCCAAUGCGGUAAAUAAUAAAGAACACAUAAAGCAAAAGGAUAAAAUGUGGUGAUUUUGAGUCAAUCUUGAAGGAACCAAAAUAUGUCUCAAGUACAUAAAAACAACCAACCACAUUGAAAUAUUAAAGAUGACCACCCUCUAUGAAAAAAUAAUACAUAUUAAGAUAAGUAAUUAUGAAUAGAGAUCUAAAAAGAGAAAAGAUAGAUAGAUCUCAUAAGCGAGUGGGGCCACAAGAGAAAACCUGAUGAGGCAACCUCAAAGCCUCAGAUUUAGAGAAGCAAGUAUCAUCAAGGUAUUGGCUAGUGCACCAGAUACACUUGGAGUUCUGAGAACACAUGGACUUCAACAUUAAAUCUCCACAGUUGAGAGGAGGUUGUUGUUGUUGUUGUUGUUGACGAAUCAGUAUUUUGAUGGGGGUAAAGGGUUUCCGAGAUGAACCAUCUUCAGCAACCACAACAUGAAAAGGUUGACACAUAAAGAAGAAGAGGGAGAAGAAGAAGAAGAGUAGCUUGGAGUUGGAGAUAGAGAACACCAUGGAUGAUUUCAAGCUCAAAGAUUUCUUGAUUUCUUUAUUGUUUUGUUUUUCUUUUUUUUUUUACUUUUUUUGAGGCAUAUUGAAAUGUAGACUUUAGGAUAAAAGAAAAGGAGGUUGAAACCACAGUCACUUUGUUUGAUGAGAUCAAACUUUUUUUUUUUUGAGUGAAGAUGAAAUCAAGCUUUAUUGGGAUAUGUUUUUCGGUUUUGGUAAAAAUUAAUAUUCCACUAAUUUUAGGUGAGUCAUACUUUGGAAUAAAAAUUAAUUUGUUUUAACGUUGUGUGAUAUUUUAGAAUUUAU
rnacentral:lncRNA from 1 species